rnacentral:rRNA from 1 species
GACGAACGCUGGCGGCGUGCUUAACACAUGCAAGUCGUACGGUAAGGCCCUUUCGGGGGUACACGAGUGGCGAACGGGUGAGUAACUCGUGAGUAACCUGCCCACAACUUUGGGAUAACGCUAGGAAACUGGAGCUAAUACUGGAUAUGUGCUCCUGCUGCAUGGUGGGGGUUGGAAAGCUCCGGCGGUUGUGGAUGGACUCGCGGCCUAUCAGCUUGUUGGUGGGGUAGUGGCCUACCAAGGCGGCGACGGGUAGCCGGCCUGAGAGGGUGACCGGCCACAUUGGGACUGAGAUACGGCCCAGACUCCUACGGGAGGCAGCAGUGGGGAAUAUUGCACAAUGGGCGCAAGCCUGAUGCAGCAACGCCGCGUGCGGGAUGACGGCCUUCGGGUUGUAAACCGCUUUCAGCAGGGACGAAGCUUUUUGUGACGGUACCUGCAGAAGAAGCACCGGCUAACUACGUG